rnacentral:rRNA from 1 species
UACGAAGGGGGCUAGCGUUGUUCGGAAUUACUGGGCGUAAAGCGCGCGCAGGCGGCUCUUUAAGUCUGACGGUGAAAUGCCGGGGCUCAACCCCGAGCGUGCCGGAGAUACUGGAGGGCUGGAGACGAGUAGAGGCAAGCGGAAUUCCGGGUGUAGCGGUGGAAUGCGUAGAGAUCCGGAAGAACACCGGAGGCGAAGGCGGCUUGCUGGGCUCGGUCUGACGCGUGAGGCGCGAAAGCGUGGGGAGCGAACAGG